CCGAGGUGCUGAGCCGUGCGGGACUUGCAGCUGUCCGAGGUGCUGAGCAGCGCCGCGCCCGGGCGGCAUCAUGGUGUUUGCUCCAGGCUCAAAAUUAUAAGCAUGCUUCAAGAAGAGGAAAAACACAGACACACAAACACUCACAUGUGCACACAAAGAAAACAAACUAAAAAAAAUCUCUUCAAGGAAAAGUUUGUUUAGCUGAAGACAAAGGUAAUUAUUUGCAUGUCAACGAGAUGAGGCUUUACAUUAUUGAAGAGCACUGGAUUGAUGUGCUAUGUUCAUAAACUAGCAAGUAGCAAAAGCCUACCAAAUUAAAACAUAAGUUUUUAAAGGCGAAGACAACUACCUAUUGAUGGAACAGAGAUUUUACUUUUAAUCUUCAACUCUUUUUCCUAGCUCUUACAACCAGCUGCUAAAAACAGCAACAACAACAAAUCCUACAACAUUAGACAAAAAUAAACCAAAACCACAGGCUUCAUUAUUAUUGAAAUGGAUGUGUAAAAAAAUAUUACAUAAAGAUCAUUAUUUUACUAAAGAAAAAUAGACAUUCUUGCUCACUCUGCCUUGUUCUGGCAAGUAUGUUGCUGCUUACAGGUGUGUGCAAAAAGCAACUAUUCAUAUCUGAUCUUCCUUCACACCCAAUUUUCACUAACUUUGACUCUUGGUUUAAAUUGCUGUAUAGUCUGCUGGAGAAAAGAACUGAGAAGAAGACCAUUUUUCCUUGUAUGAUUUAAUCUGACUGGAGCUUCAUUGUACUUUCCUGUGGAGGUUAACUUAUGAAAAGAAUUUGUUUUGAUCUGGAUACGUCAGGAAAGACUACAGCAUUUAUAUUGGCAGCUUAUCAGAACAUUUCUAUCCU